GAACUGCGAUAAGUAAUGUGAAUUGCAGAAUUCAGUGAAUCAUCGAGUCUUUGAACGCACAUUGCGCCCCCUGGCAUUCCGGGGGGCAUGCCUGUCCGAGCGUCAUUGCUGCCCUUCAAGCCCGGCUUGUGUGUUGGGUCGUCGUCCCCCCCGGGGGACGGACCCGAAAGGCAGCGGCGGCACCGUGUCCGGUCCUCGAGCGUAUGGGGCUUUGUCACCCGCUCGAUUAGGAACGGCCGGGCGCCCGCCGGCGUCAAACCCCAAUCUUUCUAAGGUUGACCUCGGAUCAGGUAGGGAUACCCGCUGAACUUAAGC
rnacentral:misc_RNA from 1 species